ACGGAAGGCAGCAGUGGGGAAUAUUGCACAAUGGGGGAAACCCUGAUGCAGCGACGCCGCGUGAGUGAAGAAGUAUUUCGGUAUGUAAAGCUCUAUCAGCAGGAAAGAAAAUGACGGUACCUGACUAAGAAGCCCCGGCUAACUACGUGCCAGCAGCCGCGGUACUACGUAGGGGGCAAGCGUUAUCCGGAUUUACUGGGUGUAAAGGGAGCGUAGACGGCUUUGCAAGUCUGAAGUGAAAGCCCGGGGCUCAACCCCGGAACUGCUUUGGAAACUGUAGAGCUAGAGUGCAGGAGAGGUAAGUGGAAUUCCUAGUGUAGCGGUGAAAUGCGUAGAUAUUAGGAGGAACACCAGUGGCGAAGGCGGCUUACUGGACUGUAACUGACGUUGAGGCUCGAAGGCGUGGGGAGCAAACAGGAUUAGAUACCCUGGUA
rnacentral:rRNA from 1 species